CUAGUAGGCGGCUUAGCAAGUCGGGUGUGAAAACUUCAGGCUCAACCUGGAGCGGCCAUCCGAUACUGCUAUGGCUAGAGUCCGGUAGGGGACCACGGAAUUCCUGGUGUAGCGGUGAAAUGCGCAGAUAUCAGGAGGAACACCGAUGGCGAAGGCAGUGGUCUGGGCCGGAACUGACGCUGAAUACGGAAAGACGUGGUGGCGAACA
rnacentral:rRNA from 1 species